rnacentral:ncRNA from 1 species
GACCCUAAAAAGUCCUUUAAACACAAAGGUUUGGUCCUGGCCUUGAGGUCAGUUAUUACUUAAUAUACACAUGCAAGUAUCCGCUCCCCUGUGAGAACGCCCUUUAACCCCUUUUAGGGACAAGGAGCUGGUAUCAGGCACGAAAAUCUGCCCAAAACACCUAGCCACGCCACACCCACAAGGGAAUUCAGCAGUGAUUAACAUUGAGUAUUAGCGUAAGCUUGACUCAGUUAAAGUAAGACAGAGCCGGCUAAUCUGGUGCCAGCCGCCGCGGUUACACCACGUGGCUCAAAUUGACCCCCCUCCGGCGUAAAGCGUGAUUAAAGUUAUUCCUUUCUAGAGUUAAACUAAAACUAAGCUGUGACACGCCUGUUUAUUAAGAAACCCAAAACGAAAGUCACUCUAAUAUAAUCAACUUGAACUCACGACAGCUGGGGAACAAACUGGGAUUAGAUACCCCACUAUGCCCAGCCGUAAACUUUAACUUACAUUCAAAUCGCCAGGGAACUACGAGCUAAGCUUAAAACCCAAAGGACUUGACGGUACCCCAUAUCCCCCUAGAGGAGCCUGUUCUAUAAUCGAUAAUCCACGUUUAACCUCACCAUUUUUAGUUAAUCAGCCUGUAUACCUCCGUCGUCAGCUUACCACGUGAGCGCCAAUUAGUGAGCUUAAUGUCUUUCACCAACACGUCAGGUCAAGGUGCAGCAAAUGAAAUGGGAAGAGAUGGGCUACACUUUCUAUAUUAGAAAAAACGAAAAACUACUUAUGAAAACUAGUUGGAAGGCGGAUUUAGCAGUAAAAAGGAAUCAGAAUGUCCCUUUUAACCCGGCACUGGGGUGUGUACACACCGCCCGUCACCCUCUUCAAAGCUUAUAACCUAGUUCUUAANNNNNNNNNNNNNNNNNNNNNNNNNNNNNNNNNNNNNNNNNAGUAUACCGGAAGGUGUGCUUGGAAA